rnacentral:rRNA from 1 species
AGUGGCGCACGGGUGAGUAACACGUAAGUAAUCUACCCUCGGGUGGGGAAUAACGUCCGGAAACGGACGCUAAUACCGCAUAAUGCAGCGGCACCGCAAGGUGACAGUUGUUAAAGAUUUAUUGCCUGAGGAGGAGCUUGCGGCAGAUUAGCUAGUUGGUAAGGUAACGGCUUACCAAGGCGACGAUCUGUAACCGGUCUAAGAGGACGGUCGGUCACACUGACACUGAAUAACGGGUCAGACUCCUACGGGAGGCAGCAGUCGGGAAUUUUGGGCAAUGGGCGAAAGCCUGACCCAGCAACGCCGCGUGAAGGAUGAAGUAUUUCGGUAUGUAAACUUCGUAAGAAUAGGAAGAAUUAAUGACGGUACUAUUUGUAAGGUCCGGCUAACUACGUGCCAGCAGCCGCGGUAAUACGUAGGGACCAAGCGUUGUUCGGAUUUACUGGGCGUAAAGGGCGCGUAGGCGGCGUGACAAGUCACUUGUGAAAUCUCCGGGCUUAACUCGGAACGGCCAAGUGAUACUGUCGUGCUAGAGUGCAGAAGGGGCAAUCGGAAUUCUUGGUGUAGCGGUGAAAUGCGUAGAUAUCAAGAGGAACACCUGAGGCGAAGGCGGGUUGCUAGGCUGACACUGACGCUGAUGCGCGAAAGCCAGGGGAGCAAACGGGAUUAGAUACCCCGGUAGUCCUGGCCCUAAACGAUG